rnacentral:misc_RNA from 1 species
GAUGAAGAACGCAGCGAAAUGCGAUAAGUAAUGUGAAUUGCAGAAUUCAGUGAAUCAUCGAAUCUUUGAACGCACAUUGCGCCCAUUAGCAUUCUAGUGGGCAUGCCUGUUCGAGUGUCAUUUCAACCCUUAAGCCCUGUUGCUUAGCGUUGGGAGCCUACAGUACUGUAGCUCCCCAAAGUUAGUGGCGGAGUCGGUUUCACACUCUAGACGUAGUAAUUUUUUCUCGUCUGUAGUUGAGCCGGUCCCCUGCCGUAAAACACCCAAUUCAUCAAGGUUGACCUCGGAUCAGGUAGGAAUACCCGCUGAACUUAAGCAUAUCAAUAAGCGGAGGA